UCCUUAAAACAAUGUUUUGAUUACUUCCAUAAUACACUGCAAUAUAUCAUGUCUGGCACAGACAUGACAGGCCUGGGAUCCUGUAGCAGUCACUUUUGGCCAUAGCAUCUUAAGGGUUAAACACAUGGGAAAAAAGAUGUCACCUGUAUACAUGAUACCCACUGCUGAAAGCACCAUUUCACAGAAUUAUUAAUUAACUUAAAGGAGUUGCCUCAUCUCAGACAAUGAUGUCACCAAUGUAUGAGAUAACACAGCCCCUUUAAUUGUAACUUAAGAAAAUAUCAACAUAUGCAUAAAAUGUGUAGUUUGUAAAGUGGCUGAACUAGCCCUACAAUGACCCUAAAUAAAUUUUUCAUUUAAAAUAAUGGCUUGAUACAGCUUCCAUGGCCUGUAAAAGCCAUAACCUGAUUCAACAGCAUCAGCCUACCUAGCAAGUGGCCCGGCAACAUGACAAGUGGUUUGGAUCGUGUUACACACCACAACCCGCUUACACAGUUUCCCAUCUAAACCCUGUGUGAUGGACUGUGAUACAUUAUAGUACGUUACGUGCCUCACAAAACGUUUAAACAUACUUAAUUCAUUAAAAUAAUUAUAUUAAGAAAAGUUAUGUUUUAAAAGGACCUUUCGUGAGCUUUACCAA